rnacentral:rRNA from 1 species
GAUGAACGCUGGCGGCGUGCCUAAUACAUGCAAGUCGAGCGAACGGACGAGAAGCUUGCUUUUCUGAUGUUAGCGGCGGACGGGUGAGUAACACGUGGAUAACCUACCUAUAAGACUGGGAUAACUUCGGGAAACCGGAGCUAAUACCGGAUAAUAUUUUGAACCGCAUGGUUCAUAAGUGAAAGACGGUCUUGCUGUCACUUAUAGAUGGAUCCGCGCUGCAUUAGCUAGUUGGUAAGGUAACGGCUUACCAAGGCAACGAUGCAUAGCCGACCUGAGAGGGUGAUCGGCCACACGGGAACUGAGACACGGUCCAGACUCCUACGGAAGGCAGCAGUAGGGAAUCUUCCGCAAUGGGCGAAAGCCUGACGGAGCAACGCAGCGUGAGCGAUGAAGGUCUUCGGAUCGUAAAACUCUGUUAUUAGGGAAAAACAUAUGUGUAAGUAACUGUGCACAUCUUGACGGUACCUAAUCAGAAAGCUACGGCUAACUACGUU